UUCCAUCUGGAAGAAUCUGGAGACAGUGCUGCAUGGCUGUCGUCAGCUCGUGUCGUGAGAUGUUGGGUUAAGUCCCGCAACGAGCGCAACCCUUGCCUUUAGUUGCCAGCAGUUCGGCUGGGCACUCUAAAGGGACUGCCGGUGUUAAACCGGAGGAAGGUGGGGAUGACGUCAAGUCCUCAUGGCCUUUAUGACCAGGGCUACACACGUACUACAAUGGCCGAUACAAAGGGCAGCGACACUGCGAGGUGAAGCCAAUCCCGUAAAAUCGGUCUCAGUCCGGAUUGGAGUCUGCAACUCGACUCCAUGAAGUUGGAAUCGCUAGUAAUCGUGGAUCAGCAUGCCACGGUGAAUACGUUCCCGGGCCUU
rnacentral:rRNA from 1 species